rnacentral:misc_RNA from 1 species
GAUGAAGAACUUAGCGAAAUGCGAUACGUAAUGUGAAUUGCAGAAUUCAGUGAAUCAUCGAAUCUUUGAACGCAUAUUGCGCUCUCUGGUAUUCCGGAGAGCAUGCUUGUUUGAGUAUCAGUAAACACCUCAACUUCCAUAUCUUUUUUGAAAUGGGAGUUGGACUUGAGUGAUCCCAACGCUUUUCCUCACCGAAAAGUGGCGGGUUACUUGAAAUGCAGGUGCAGCUGGACUUUUCUCUGAGCUAUAAGCAUAUCUAUUUAGUCUGCCUAAAAACAGAUUAUUACCUUUGCUGCAGCUAACAUAAAGGAGAUUAGUUCUUGUGCUGACUGAUGCAGGAUUCACAAAGACAGGCUUCGGCCGACUUUGUAAACUCGAUCUCAAAUCAAGUAAGACUACCCGCUGAACUUAAGCAUAUCAAUAAGCGGAGGA